rnacentral:rRNA from 1 species
UACGGGGGGAGCAAGCGUUGUUCGGAUUUACUGGGCGUAAAGGGCGCGUAGGCGGUCAGUGCAAGUCAGUUGUGAAAUCUCCGGGCUUAACUCGGAACGGUCAACUGAUACUGCUCGACUAGAGUGCGGAAGGGGCAACUGGAAUUCUUGGUGUAGCGGUGAAAUGCGUAGAUAUCAAGAGGAACACCUGCGGCGAAGGCGGGUUGCUGGGCCGACACUGACGCUGAGGCGCGAAAGCUAGGGGAGCAAACGGG